CUGGUUGAUCCUGCCAGUAGUCAUAUGCUUGUCUCAAAGAUUAAGCCAUGCAUGUCUAAGCACAUGCCUUAAUACGGUGAAGCCGCGAAUAGCUCAUUACAACAGCCACCGUUUACUAGAAUAUAGUUAUCUUACUUGGAUAACUGUGGCAAUUCUAGAGCUAAUACAUGCAAAAAAGCUCUGCCCGCAAGGAACGAGCGCAUUUAUUAGAAUAAAAACCAAUCGGGUUUCGGCCCGUAAUUUGGUGAAUCUGAAUAACUUUGCCAAUCGCACAGUCCUAGCACUGGCGAUGUAUCUUUCAAGUGUCUGCCUUAUCAACUUUCGAUGGUAGGUUAUACGCCUACCAUGGUAGUAACGGGUAACGGAGAAUAAGGGUUCGACUCCGGAGAGGGAGGCUGAGAAACGGCUACCACAUCCAAGGAAGGCAGCAGGCGCGCAAAUUACCCACUUCCAGAACGGAGAGGUAGUGACGAAAAAUAACGAGACAGUCCUCUUCGAGGUCUGUCAUCGGAAUGGGUACAAUUUAAAUCCUUUAACGAGGAUCUAUUGGAGGGCAAGUC
rnacentral:rRNA from 1 species